GUGGUAAUGCCGGAUGCUCCAUCACACCGCAUGGUGUGUUGGGAAAGCCUUUGCGGCAUGGGAUGGGGUCGCGUCCUAUCAGCUUGAUGGCGGGGUAACGGCCCACCAUGGCUUCGACGGGUAGCCGGCCUGAGAGGGCGACCGGCCACAUUGGGACUGAGAUACGGCCCAGACUCCUACGGGAGGCAGCAGUGGGGAAUAUUGCACAAUGGGCGCAAGCCUGAUGCAGCGACGCCGCGUGAGGGAUGGAGGCCUUCGGGUUGUAAACCUCUUUUGUUAGGGAGCAAGGCACUUUGUGUUGAGUGUACCUUUCGAAUAAGCACCGGCUAACUACGUGCCAGCAGCCGCGGUAAUACGUAGGGUGCAAGCGUUAUCCGGAAUUAUUGGGCGUAAAGGGCUCGUAGGCGGUUCGUCGCGUCCGGUGUGAAAGUCCAUCGCUUAACGGUGGAUCCGCGCCGGGUACGGGCGGGCUUGAGUGCGGUAGGGGAGACUGGAAUUCCCGGUGUAACGGUGGAAUGUGUAGAUAUCGAAAAAAAAACACCA
rnacentral:rRNA from 1 species